rnacentral:rRNA from 1 species
GACGAACGCUGGCGGCGUGCUUAACACAUGCAAGUCGAGCGGAAAGGCUCCUUCGGGGGUACUCGAGCGGCGAACGGGUGAGUAACACGUGAGUAAUCUGCCCUUGGCUUUGGGAUAACUACCGGAAACGGUGGCUAAUACCGGAUACGACCACUCCUUGCAUGAGGUGGUGGUGGAAAGUUUUUUCGGCCAGGGAUGUGCUCGCGGCCUAUCAGCUUGUUGGUGGGGUAAUGGCCUACCAAGGCUUCGACGGGUAGCCGGCCUGAGAGGGUGACCGGCCACACUGGGACUGAGACACGGCCCAGACUCCUACGGGAGGCAGCAGUGGGGAAUAUUGGACAAUGGGGGCAACCCUGAUCCAGCGAUGCCGCGUGAGUGAUGAAGGCCUUCGGGUUGUAAAGCUCUUUUGUUGGGGGACGAGUGAGUGACGGUACCCCACGAAUAAGCCCGGCUAACUUCGUGCCA